ACCGGCUCCAGGGUAUUUAAAUCGAUGCCCAGCAAACCGUUUCACCCAUCCUGCCUCUCCCGUGAGCCACCAUGGCUGGCUCGUCGCCGUGAGAGACCAUGCCUACUCCGUCGUCGAGCCAAACUCGCGAAGGGAACAACGAGAGCCAAGGAUCCUAGGCCACCGUCGAACCAUGAGCGUCGCCGAGAUAAGACCAGAGUGACGCCGCUCCCUGUCGCUCAGAUUGAGGGCAGUUGCCUGGAACCUCGCCGGCAUCAAACUCCGCCGCGGUGUUGCCGAGCGCCGCCGUGUCGGACGAGCGAAGAAAGAGAGAGAAGAAGGGGUUAGCGUGUCUGCGGGGAGAAACAACUCCGGCCACCCGCAUCCGGUAGCAAGGUCAAGAACAGGUACCACAGGAUGAGGCACAUGGAGGAUGCUGCGAUGUGUUCGUGAGAGGUCUAGGUCGUCGUCUCCCAGUCAACUUUGGGUUGUUGGACCAUUGUCUCCUUAUAAUCAUACCUGGUGAUUAUGUUCGCGCCCGGGUCUUGGUGCCCCGAAACCCAGGUGUGACAGCUAUGAACUCUCGUUCACUAGCUUGGGCAAAGGAAGCUAGAGCUCGAGCUUGAGUGGAAGAGCUUAGCUCAACCGUGGAUAGCUUGCAGGUUUAUUGCAACACACUACAUGAAGAAGUUCAUGUACUGUACUCGCAACUACACCCGAACGUCCCUGCGGAUCCUGUCAGGACAGAAGCCGGACCUUCUCAGGUAGCGGGAGAAGCUUUUGUUGGUGAGCUGGACCUUUUUAGGCCCCCUCCCUCUAUGAAGCUGGUCGAUGAAUGGUCUUCGACGCCUGACAGCGAGGCUACCCAGAGUGACAAAAAGUAGGAAUAGUAUAGUACAGAAGUAGUACUAUUGUGUAAUAGGGGGUGUAAUCCUAUUGUAAAGUACAAGUUUGUAACAUUACUUUUUUUAAGUAAUGUGAAAUGGAUGGUUUGUAUG